rnacentral:rRNA from 1 species
UUUAAAUUGAGAGUUUGAUCCUGGCUCAGGAUGAACGCUGGUGGCGUGCCUAAUACAUGCAAGUCGUACGCUAGCCGCUGAAUUGAUCCUUCGGGUGAAGUGAGGCAAUGACUAGAGUGGCGAACUGGUGAGUAACACGUAAGAAACCUGCCCUUUAGUGGGGGAUAACAUUUGGAAACAGAUGCUAAUACCGCGUAACAACAAAUCACACAUGUGAUCUGUUUGAAAGGUCCUUUUGGAUCGCUAGAGGAUGGUCUUGCGGCGUAUUAGCUUGUUGGUAGGGUAGAAGCCUACCAAGGCAAUGAUGCGUAGCCGAGUUGAGAGACUGGCCGGCCACAUUGGGACUGAGACACUGCCCAAACUCCUACGGGAGGCUGCAGUAGGGAAUUUUCCGCAAUGCACGAAAGUGUGACGGAGCGACGCCGCGUGUGUGAUGAAGGCUUUCGGGUCGUAAAGCACUGUUGUAAGGGAAGAAUAACUGAAUUCAGAGAAAGUUUUCAGCUUGACGGUACCUUACCAGAAAGGGAUGGCUAAAUACGUGCCAGCAGCCGCGGUAAUACGUAUGUCCCGAGCGUUAUCCGGAUUUAUUGGGCGUAAAGCGAGCGCAGACGGUUUAUUAAGUCUGAUGUGAAAUCCCGAGGCCCAACCUCGGAACUGCAUUGGAAACUGAUUUACUUGAGUGCGAUAGAGGCAAGUGGAACUCCAUGUGUAGCGGUGAAAUGCGUAGAUAUGUGGAAGAACACCAGUGGCGAAAGCGGCUUGCUAGAUCGUAACUGACGUUGAGGCUCGAAAGUAUGGGUAGCAAACGGGAUUAGAUACCCCGGUAGUCCAUACCGUAAACGAUGGGUGCUAGUUGUUAAGAGGUUUCCGCCUCCUAGUGACGUAGCAAACGCAUUAAGCACCCCGCCUGAGGAGUACGGCCGCAAGGC